CCUGCCCCGGGCGUUGUCUCGGCUGUCGAUGCGGCUGCGGCUUCGAUUCGGCGGUGGCACCUUCUGAGUGUCGGCACCUUUCCAGCGGCGUCCUAGGACCGAGCGGGGACCCAGCGGCGGAUCCCGAGAUGGCGGUGAAUGUGACCAUCGAGUAUUGCUCUGGCUGAGGCUUCCUCGCCCAUUUCCUGACUCUCGCUGAUGAAAUCCGGGAGCAGGUCCCAGGCGUCCACGUUACCGGGUUUAUUGGGCAAACAGGAAGUUUUGAGGUUUCAAUUAAUAACAAGCUGGUUUUCUCGAAGCUGGAAUCAAAUGGGUUUCCUUAUCAUAAAGAU